CCUACGGGAGACAGCAGUGGGGAAUAUUGGGCAAUGGGCGCAAGCCUGACCCAGCAACGCCGCGUGAAGGAAGAAGGCCCUCGGGUUGUAACCUUCUUUUAUCAAGGACGAACCAAAUGACGGUACUUGAGGAAUAAGCCACGGCUAAAUACGUGCCAGCAGCCGCGGGAAUACGUAGGGGCCAAGCGUUAUCAGGAUUUACUGGGUGCAAGGGGCGUGUAGGCGGGACUCCACGUCAGUUGUGAAACCCAUGGGCUCAACCCAUGGCCUGCAUUUGACAAUGUAGUUCUUGAGUGUUUGAGAGGCAGGCGGAAUUCCGUGUGUAGCGGUGAAAUGCGUAGAUAUACGGAGGAACACCAGUGGCGAAGGCGGCCUGCUGGACAAUAACUGACGCUGAGGCGCGAAAGCGUGGGGAGCAAACAGGAUUAGAUACCCCUGUAGUC
rnacentral:rRNA from 1 species